rnacentral:rRNA from 1 species
GAUGAACGCUGGCGGCGUGCCUAAUACAUGCAAGUCGAGCGAACGGACGAGGAGCUUGCUUCGCUGAUGUUAGCGGCGGGCGGGUGAGUAACACGUGGAUAACCUACCUAUAAGACUGGGAUAACUUCGGGAAACCGUAGCUAAUACCGGAUAAUAUUUUGAACCGCAGGGGUCAAAAGUGAAAGACGGUCGUGCUGUCACUUAUAGAUGGAUCCGCGCUGCAUUAGCGAGUUGGUAAGGUAACGGCUUACCAAGGCGACGAUGCAUAGCCGACCGGGGAGGGGGAUAGGCCACCCUGGAAGGGGGCCACGGUCCAGGGUCCUGCGGGAGGGACCAGUAGGGAACCUUCCGCAAUGGGGGGAAGCCUGGCGGAGCGGCGCCGAGUGAGUGAUGAAGGCCUUCGGAUCGUAAAACUCUGUUAUUAGGGAAGAACAUAUGUGUAAGUAACUGUGCACAUCGUGACGGUACCUAAUCAGAAAGCCACGGCUAACUACGUG